GCUGGCGGCGUGCUACACGAUGCAAGUCGAACGAGAAAGGGGCAGCAAUGCCUGAGUAAAGUUGGCGCACGGGUGAGUAACACGUGACUAACCUACCCUUGAGCGGGGGAUAACCUAGGUGAAACCUGGGUCUAAGUACCGCAUAAUACCUAUGGGUCGAAAGCGGAGCUAAUCGCAGCUCGAGGAGGGGGUCGCGGCAGAUUAUGUUAGUUUGCGUCGAGGUAAUGGCUCACCAAGACGAUGAUCUGUAUCCGGCCUGAGAGUGGCGCACUGGACACACUGGAACUGAACACACGGUCCAGACUCCUACGGGAGUGCUAGGCAGUGGUGGAAUUUUGCGCUAAUGGCGGGAAACCCUGACUGGCAGUCAACGCCGCGUGGAGGAUGAAAUAUCUUGGUAUGUAAACUCCUUUCGAUCGGGACGAUAAUGACGGUACCGAUAGAAGAACGCCCCGGCUAACUUCGUGCCAGCAGCCGCGGUAAUACUGAGGUGGGGCAAGCGUUGUUCGGAAUUAUUGGGCGUAAAGGGUGCGUAGGCGGUUUGACAAGUCUUGUGUGAAAUCUCUGGGUCUCAACCCAGGGGGCUGCCACAGGAAACUGUCG
rnacentral:rRNA from 1 species